rnacentral:rRNA from 1 species
GGCACCUGGAUGUGGAUUCUCCACGGCAACGUAACUGAACGCGGAGACGUCGGCGGGGGUCCUGGGAAGAGUUAUCUUUUCUUCUUGACGGCCUAUCACCCUGAAAUCGGUUUGUCCGGAGCUAGGGUUCAAUGGCCGGCAGAGCCCCGCACCUUUGCGGGGUCCGGUGCGCCCCCGACGACCCUUGAAAAUCCGCGGGAAGGAAUAGUUUUCACGCCAGGUCG